rnacentral:miRNA from 1 species
CUCCGCCUCCUCCCCCCCUCCCACCCCGCUUGCUCUGCGGCGGAGGCGGCGGCGGCGGCAGCGGCACCGGUGUCUCUGCCUCUCCGCCACCUCCACCGCAGCCUCUGACCCCCGGCCGGCGUUGUUGGCGGGGAGGG